rnacentral:lncRNA from 1 species
AUAAAAUUCAGAAAGGAAAUGGGGUAUGUGUCAAAGCGACAACAACCCGACCAUAGAGCAGACAACAGCCGAAGGUCACCAAUGGGUCUUCAAUGUAGCGAGAAACUCCCGCAUCCGUAGGUGUCCUUCAGCUGGCCCCUUAAAAAAUAUGUAUACUAGUACAGUGAUAAGAGACGUCAUACUAAACUCCGAAUUAUACACA